rnacentral:lncRNA from 1 species
CACAAACCAGCAGCUGGGGAGGAAGAUGGUCUGAGCACCUCAGCAUGUCUGUGUGCAUGCAGUACUUCACUCUGCUUUGUAGACAUACCUGCUAUAAUCUUGUCUGAGCUAUCAAAUCCCCAUUGACCUUUCAGCAUGCUUGCCACUGUAUUUCUGUAUGAAGACACACUUGCUACAAUCUACCCUGAAUUCAUUUCAGUUUGAAUUAAAACAGAUCUUUGAGGGAUAGACUGUCAAGGAACACAGUUAUGUCCUUGUUCCCUGCUUAACCCAUGCUGUCUAGUGUUAACUGACCACGUAGAAUAGGACUUUGUUUUUAUUUCACACUUUGCAAAUCUUUUUUGUUAUUUUUGUGGUGCUCCUGUGAAGCUGUUCCAGCUCUUCGGCACUUUCAGUCCAGGGAUGUCAGCACACCUCAAUCUAGUAGCAGGUACAGCUAGUGCAAAACUAAAGGUAGCAGUGAAGCAUAGCUUUGCUACUUCUGUGUGGAAAUGUGGAGCACGGAAGUGUGUCUGCUCUGAAGAGCUGGAGUGAGGAGCAGCCUCCCAGCCUCCUGGUCCGAGUGACAGGCUGCAUGGUACCUUUGGGAAGCUGCAGUACCCCGUGGGAGACCAGGACUGGGUUUGGCCAAACGCAGUGAAACCAGUACUGGGGGUCCUGUCACCUCCUGCUACCCUGUCCUGCACAGGGUGUGGAGCACACAGCACCUGCACGUGCUGCCCGCGGGGGUGGCCGUGCUUUCCACGUCCCAGCCUUGCAUGGACAUGACAGACAGUGCAACAUCUACUCCCAAAUAUCGAGAUGAAUGAUUACAAAAAGUGCUAUUUUUGAAGACAUAGCAGUCGAUUAUGCAUUUGACAGAAGGUUUUAGGAAAUAGGCAAUGUGGGAUGUACUGGGAGGGAAAAAAAAUCAAUCUGUGUAUUUGUCUUUUAACUAGUUGGAGACACAUUGGCACAUAUUUUUGGCACAUUAAUGAAUUCUGCCUUAUUUAAUCUCUGCUACUCUUAUAAUA